AGAGAUGUGUGAUGACGCAUAUCAAUAAGCGGAGGAAAAGAAACUAACAAGGAUUCCCUUAGUAACGGCGAGUGAAGCGGGAAGAGCUCAAAUUUGAAAUCUUCAAGGUUCUACCUUGACGAAUUGUAGUUUAUAGAAGUGUUUUCUGUUAGUAGAGUGGCAAAAGUUCUUUGGAAUAGGACAUCAUAGAGGGUGAGAAUCCCGUAUUUGGUCAUUCUUUCUAGCUUUGUGAUACACUUUCAACGAGUCGGAUUGUUUGGGAAUGCAGUCCAAAAUGGGUGGUAAAUUUCAUCUAAAGCUAAAUAUUGGCGAGAGACCGAUAGCGAACAAGUACCGUGAGGGAAAGAUGAAAAGAACUUUGAAAAGAGAGUUAAACAGUACGUGAAAUUGUCAAAAGGGAAGCGUUUGACACCAGUGUCGUUUUUCCGAAAAUCAAUUACGAAUGUUUUAUUUUUGAGAAGUUAUGACUUCAUCGGCUUGCUUCUCUCUUUAUGAAACUUUCUUAAUGCACUUUUCGGUUAACAAGUCAACAUCAAUUUCUUUUGUUGUAAAAGGGUAUGAGGAAGGUGGCUUUCUUUUCGGAGAAAGUGUUUAUAGCCUUGUACCUCUGCAAUCGGAGAGAUUGAGGUCUGCAGCGUAGAUCCUUCGGGGUUAGAUACAUUUGUGCUAAGUUAUAGCUUUUCAUAGACAACUUGUUGACUAUGUUUAGUCUUGUAGCUUACUCGCUUAUGCUAUUUUACCUACGCUUAGGAUGUUGAGUAGCGACAUACGCAC
rnacentral:rRNA from 1 species